rnacentral:tRNA from 1 species
GCGGAUUUAGCUCAGUUGGUAGAGCUUCAGCUUCCCAAGCUGAAGGUCGUCCCGAUAUAAAUCGGGAUAAUCCGCUCCA